rnacentral:rRNA from 1 species
CAGCCGUAAACUAUGCGCGUUAGGUGUAUCGGUGACCACGAGUUACCGAGGUGCCGAAGGGAACCGUGAAACGUGCCGCCUGGGAAGUACGGUCGCAAGGCUGAAACUUAAAGGAAUUGGCGGGGGAGCACCACAACAGGUGGAGCCUGCGGUUUAAUUGGACUCAACGCCGGGAAGCUCACCGGAUAGGACAGCAGAAUGAUUGCCGGGCUGAAGACCCUGCAUGACUAGCUGAGAGGAGGUGCAUGGCGUAGACGUCU